CUCCGGGAGGCGGUGGCGCCCGCGGAGGUGCGGGCCGGGGGGGACGUGUGAGCGCCCACACGGGAAAGGGCGACUGAGAGAUGCGGCGGUGUGAGAAAGCCGGGCUGGGCUCUCUGCUGCCUACCCGGGAGGAGAGGGCGCAGGAGACGAGCGCCGCGGGACUAUGCACCAGCCUUUCAUUCAGCACAGUGGCGUCUGCGGCGACAGAGGGGGAAGCGAGGGAGCGCCCUGCGCUGCUCUCCUCACAGGCAGUGGUGUGGGACCGGCCGGACCGCCCUGAGGGUGGUGAGGGAAGAGCCCAACGCCCUCCAGUCCAGGGCUAAGCGACCCAGGACAGUGGUCCCACCCCGGCAGUCCUCGGUCAGGUGCAUGAGGGACAGAAAAGUCCAGCUUGUCAGUGGUGCAGCACCGUGUAUCAUAAAGCAAGAAAGCAAAAAAUGUCAUGAGAGGGAAAACGUGAAAAGAGACUUUACUUCUUUGUCCUGUUUCUGAAACUGACAGCUUCCUACUGUGAUAACAAUCCUCAACCUGAGAGAAGGGUAGGAACUAUAAAAAAGGCAACUCAACCAAUGGAUUUAUUUGGUGACUGCUAUUCACACGGAAAGAGAAUGAAUAGAAGACUCACUAUCUCCACUUCAGACAUUUUUGUAUUUCUAAACUGUCAUUAAAAUGUCACAAUCCCACUGCAGUCCUGUUCACUUCAGGAUUUUCUCUCUUAUCGCAGCAGUCGGUAGGUUUGGGCUCUUUGCUUUUCUUGCCAUUGUGCACAAUUUCAAUACCACCAUCAGAGGAGGAUAAUGAUUGCACAUCACAGAAAGUUUUUGUGUUUUCAGCUUCAUAUGCCAGGGUGUAACUGAAUCUGUUGGUGAUCUGAAUUAUUACCAUAACUUUCUGAGGUGUCUGCUCUUCCUCCAGUAAUAAUUACAGGCUAUGGCAAACCAGUUCACUUUCUCUGAGUGGACCAGAAGGGCCAUAUUGACAGACAAAUGCAAGAGAGAAAGCAUUGAUAAAUUUCUGUUAAAUUUUCACAACUCAGUGCUCAGACUAGUCACUGCCCAAAUUCUAAAUUGAAAUCCAUCAUCAAAGGUGGUAUUAAUUAAUCAUAUAUUAGCCCCUGACAGAGGCCAGAAGCUUAACAAAUCUUGGAGAAUAAGCUUCCUUCAUGCUCUUACAGUGACCUGUCCAGAUCAGUGAGAAGGCUGAAUAAGGCUGAUGUGGGGAUUUGCCAUCCUGAGGGCCAAAUGGAAAACCCUGGGGAAGAGCUAGGCAGAUGUAUUCAGUAAAACUACAAGCACCAAUCUGAGAUUCAAGCCAUCUUGCUUGGGAGCAGCAUCAGGAGCAGCCAGAAUAAUUGUAGUGAACUGGGAGAUAUUUGCUUAAAUGUUCCCUAUGCCAUUAUCUUGCCUUGGAACUCAGAGGACAUCGGAAACUUUCUCAACACUAAGGAGGCAGAGAGCACUCAGGAGACUUCAGUACUUCUUACAAGAUUUGUAGGUGCUGUUUUGACAUGGUGAGACAGGAAUCUCCCAGUUGCUUCUCUGCCCUUUGAAAGAAAUGGGAAGUCCAUGCUAUGUCAAGAAAGUAUGGCAGGGAUGCAUCAGCUCAAAAUUCCUAUUUUCUAUUUCAGUGGCAGGGAAAGCCUGAGCUUUCCUGGUGAGGUAUCCUGGAGAUGCCAUUCCUUCUUCUGUCAUUUUCAAAGCUGUGAAACACUUCCAUCUUUUUCAGUGGAGGGCAAACACAGGAAAGCAGCAGACUGAAGAGUUUGUAGGAAGGUACUGCAACUUGCUGUACAAAGGCAGCAAAGUGCAGCAGAGACCAGAGGUAUGUGUAUACUGGGGUAGAAGAACACCACAGUGCAUCUGAGAGCUUUUCUGUCAGUAAACGGACUUUUUGUGUUUGUGCACUUAAUAUGUCCAAGGCUGAGACUAAAUAUAGCUCACGAGCAGUUUCCCAUCUCUGAGACAAGGAAGCAUGCUGUGACAUUUCUUGCCUUGUGUCUAUACUGCAGAUAUCUGAAAAAUAAAAACCUCUAAGGUUUUCUAGUUGCAGUCUUAUUUUGGCACUGAUUUAAUUCUAAAUGUGAGAGUCUUUAAAAAAUAAUUUGGAAUUAUUUUUACAUGUUGAACAGGAAUAAGAAGGAUUAUCUCUGGACCUGAGUUUGAACAGACUCCUGAUUCUGGAUGCAGCUGUGGCCUAGUUUGGGUACAUGAGGUCAUAAUGUUUUUCAACUCUAUGUUUUGCUAGUAAAUUUAUGUUUUUUUCUAAGCAUAAGAGUACUUAACUAGAGCUUGAGAGGUUUGUUCUCUGUGUUGUCAAGUUACCUUUGCUUCACAUCUGAAACCUCCCCAUCUAUUUACUUACCAGGAAUUCUUCUCCUGUAAGCCUCUCUCUCUCUUUUCUCUCCAGCAGGUCAGGACAAACACACUGUUGUCCAAAAACCUUUUCAGAAUUCAUCUCCAGUUCAGUUAUGAUAAUGAUGUGCAGGUUUACCUACAUUUAUAUUUUAUUUCCAAUUCCAAGCUCUAACUGAUCUCUCACAAAACCUUCAGAUACCUAGGUAGAUGCAAACACCUGUGUUUGCUUGCUCAUAUAAAGUUUUGCAUCAUCACUUAGAUUAUCCCUGGAGUUCUGGUUACUGGAAGCAACUCUCCAUUCCUUUGCUGUCCACUGUCCACAGCUUAGACUGUGACUCCUCCACGAGGAACACCUACCAUAUGGAAAUGAAGUGACCUCUAGCAAGUCAGUAUUUGUUUCCUGUAAGCUUAAACUCUGAUUACUCAAAAAGCCCUUUCAUUCUUUCCACCCUCAUCCACCACUCCUCUCACAUCAAAUGAGCUGACUAAAGCUCCAGCUCUAUGAGGAUCUGGUUCAACAAACUCUUUUACACGCAUUUUUUUGUCCAAUGGGUUUGAUACAAGUGCACGCUCUAUACGAUGGUUGCAAUCCCCUUUCCUUUUCCUCCAUCUUGAAGCAACUUAACAAAAUAGGACAGAUUAACCUCUUGCUGUACAUUUUUUUCUCCUUACUUCCUACUCAGACAGAAAUAUCGGGCCAUUGAAUUUUUAUGCAUAUAUUUAUAGAUGCAUUUACAUUCUUAAUUAAGCUAUUAUUUUAUUUCAAGAGGAUGCCAUCACUAUAAAAAAUCACAAUAAAAUGUUCAAGUUACCAGCUACUACUAAAAGAAUGAAAAUUAUUUACUUGUCAUCAUUAGCAGUGUUUGGCUUUUCACUCAUCUUGGGGCAUGAAUGCUGAAAAUAGACCAGUAAGUUUCACUUCUGCUUAAGACUUUUUUGCAUUAGAACAAGGCCGCUUUGAAUAGGCUGAAAACACAGCAGAAAAUGAUAUUCACAUUAGAUUCUCCAUGGAAUUACAGAGGAAGAGCUAGUUCCCAAAGACCGUUUUGUAUAUUUUGGAUUUUACAGAACCAAAGACUUGGUAUUCUAUCAGAACACUGAGAUUUGAAUUACCCUCCAAAAGAUGUGACCAGCUGCCUGUAACUACUUUUUCUGUUGUACCAGAGGAAAGAAAAGGUAAAGUGAAAUGUAUUAUAAAAUUCUCUCUGACUUCCUGAAUUUGUCUGAGUUGUGAGGUUGAGCGUCUAUAUUAGAAGUUCCUCUUCCUUUAGAUGGUAAGUACAAGUUUGUACCUUAUUCAGAAUAAUCUCUGCCUCUAUCUGUGUUGAUAUUAAUUAUACUUUCAAUCUGUUUUGCAGAUGCUAAACCUUGGGCAGCAACUUGGCUGUGUAGUAGGGUCUUAUCCAGCCAAGUACACCAAGGGACAAUAACACCUGUGUGCUUUGGGCAGUUACAAACGGCUCAUUGAAUAUUUGAUUUUGUUGAAAUGCAUUUCUGAUCUUAAGAAGAAGAUGGGACUUGGACUAGUGUUGCAGAUAUAGAUCUGAUCUAAAGUCAACUGCACUGGGGACUGCCUGGAGCAGCAUCUCUUCUCUUAGGUCUGCUGGAUGCUCUCUGCAUGCUGUGAAGAAAAAAUAACAAAGCGCUACGGGUAAGAGGAAUCUUUUUCUCUGAUUUGUUAGUUUUGUACAUCCUCUCCCUUGCUUCCCUGCCUGUCCUGAA